rfam:Bacillus sp. B-jedd genome assembly, contig: CONTIG000001
CUACAGCUAGAUCCAUACCCCUAAACUCCCUAAUUUUUUGGAUAGCAUCUUGGAUGCUAUCCGCUUUUU